GGAAAUUACUCUAGAUGGGCUGGGCAGGAUGAAGUCUUGGCCAGAGAGUGAGGAUUUAGGAUAAUGUGGCCCAGCCUCUCCUACCUGCAUGGAAGGAGAAGUGGGAGAAGCGGGGGCUCAGAGGGAGGAGAGUGACCUGCCCAAAGUGCUACAGGUUCCAGGAAGUGCCGGAACCCGGAUUGAUCCCUCCCACGGUGGGAUUCCUGUGUAGGUGUGGGCUGGCUUAGACACCCACCCUCUGCAGUCCGCUCUAGUUCUCACUUCGGGUAUUUACUGUCUGGAUGACCUUAAUCACGCCACCUAUCCCUGAUGGACCUCAUUUUCUUUAUAAAAGGAAGGGUUGAUUAAA